CCGUCAUAUUGUCUCUGGAUUAAAUGUAUUCCAAAUGUCAUUUUUAUAAAGAAAUAAUAGUUAAAACUACAAUAUUAUUGUAAAUUUGCAAUAAUUGCAAAUUCCAAUUAUUGGAAGCUGCAAAAGGGACAUUAGAAUGUCAGCAAGAUCGGAACAAUUUUCGAUUUAAGUGGAAUUUACGGAAGGUGCAAAGAUUUGACCUCACAACUAAUCCGCAAAAUGAAGAAGCAACAUAUUUUGUUACCGCUUAGAAGAAACAAUAGAAAUAGUACUGUGGAUUGAUAAAUAAAGAGUGAAAAUAAGGUUGACUAGAAGUUGAUAAAGAAUAGAAGGAUAGUCCAAGGAAUUAAAAAACAAUAGAAAAAAAACGUAGACUACUGUGAGCACUGAAAUUAGAGUUUGAUUUAAGCUUUAAUUAGGUUUGGUGUUUGUGCUUGAACAUUUUUAAUGUCAAUUUGUAAGCAGAUUUAUAUAAAAGUGUAGAUUUUAUUAGUGAUUUGCUACUAGUUGGAAUUAUCUCUGUUUAUGUCCCACAAACAAUUUCAGUUUAAGUUAGAGUCAAAGGUUGAUUGUUUAUAAUAAAUUUAUACUUUUAGAAAGUGAGAAUUGAAAAGCAGCAAGUACUCAAUGAAAUGAAAAGAGGGAUUAAUAAAAAUUAUAAAAUAGAAACUUAGUCUGGUAUGAAAUUAAAACCCUUACUCAACCUUUGAUUCCAUAUUGAUGCUCCAACAUCUUAGAUAUAAAUUUAAGUUUGAUGCUGAUUUUAAGUUAAUAUUUAUGUCAAUUAACUUUUGGUUAUAUCAGUGAUUUGCUACUAGUUAAUAUGUAAAUGCAAAAUCUGUUUAAGUAAGAAAUGAAUAAACAUUGUAUGUUAUGUAUUUGUCAGUUUUAUUUUUGGUAAUUUACCUAUGUCUUCUUUAGUAGGAAAAGCCAUUAAAGUGGUUAACAAUAUUAGUUUAUUUUACAAAAAUAUACAGAUAAUGCAUAUAUGAAUGACCCGUACCUACUAACAGUUAGGAAUAUUAAACAAAUAGGUAGCAAAAUAAAAAUGUUUCAGUUAU